GGGCUGGGCUCGGGGAAGAAGGGGUGGCAGGGUGCAGGCACACUUGCUGCUGUGGGGUCUGAUCUGUUUCUCACUCUGCCCCACACCCACUGGGGAGGGGUUACUGCUUUCCCUGAUGGAGGAAGGGUCUGUCACUGCAGCUGCCUGUGGGAUCCUGAGUGGGGCUCUAGCUUUUCUGGGGUUGGGGCUCCAGGUGUGAAGUCAGGCAUAGACCCAGAAGGCUCUCUGUGUUCCCAGGGGAAAGGGACAGGCGGCUCCCAGGUAGGCUCCAGGAGAAGACUGCGGGGAAGCUGGUGGGUGGUGUGUGGGUGCUCAUGGCUGCCCUGCCCUGCCCAGGCCGAGCAGGAGCUCCGCGUGGCCCAGACAGAGUUUGACCGGCAAGCAGAAGUGACCCGUCUCUUGCUGGAGGGAAUCAGUAGCACUCAUGUGAGUCCCCCUGCCCACCCUCACUAAAGCCCAACCCUCAGCAGGCACCAGGUGUGCCUGAACCACAAAGUCAGCAGGGCUGCCCCCGAAUGGCCCUCACAGAGCAAGUCCCACCGGGGAGGGUGUGGGCGCAGGGGCAGGGCACCCUGGAAUGCCGGAGCAAGGUCUGGUAGAGGACGGGAAUGGGGACGGAAUUUUU
rnacentral:lncRNA from 1 species